UCUCACACGUACAGGUGUGCGCACACGUGACCACAGUCUCACACGUACAGGUGUGCGCACACUGGUGUCCACAGUCUCACACGUACAGGUGUGCGCACACUGGUGUCCACAGUCUCACACGUACAGGUGUGCGCACUCUGGUGUCCACAGUCUCACACGUACAGGUGUGCGCACGCUGGUGUCCACAGUCUCACACGUACAGGUGUGCGCACACUGGUGUCCACAGUCUCACACGUACAGGUGUGCGCACACUGGUGUCCACAGUCUCACACGUACAGGUGUGCGCACACUGGUGUCCACAGUCUCACACGUACAGGUGUGCGCACACUGGUGUCCACAGUCUCACACGUACAGGUGUGCGCACACUGGUUUCCACAGUCUCACACGUACAGGUGUGCGCACACUGGUUUCCACAGUCUCACACGUACAGGUGUGCGCACACUGGUUUCCACAGUCUCACACGUACAGGUGUGCGCACACUGGUGUCCACAGUCUCACACGUACAGGUGUGCGCACACUGGUGUCCACAGUCUCACACGUACAGGUGUGCGCACACUGGUGUCCACAGUCUCACACGUACAGGUGUGCGCACA